AUGCUCACUGAUGGGUGCUGUCCGACGCUCACUGAUGGGUGCUGUCCUACGCUCACUGAUGGGUGCUGUCCUACGCUCACUGAUGGGUGCUGUCAGACACUCACUGAUGGGUGCUAUUGGAAACUCACUGAUGGGUGCUGCCCUACACUCACUGAUGGGUGCUGUCCUACACUCACUAAUGGGUGCUGUCCUACACUCACUGAUGGGUGCUGUCCUACGCUCACUGAUGGGUGCUGUCCUACACUCACUAAUGGGUGCUGUCCUACACUCACUGAUGGGUGCUGUCCUACGCUCACUGAUGGGUGCUGUCAGACACUCACUGAUGGGUGCUAUUGGAAACUCACUGAUGGGUGCUGCCCUACACUCACUGAUGGGUGCUGUCCUACACUCACUAAUGGGUGCUGUCCUACGCUCACUGAUGGGUGCUGUUGGAUGCUCACUGAUGGGUGCUGUCCUACGCUCACUGGUGGGUGCUGGAAUCGGAGUCUCCUCCCCCGAAGCUUUGUCAUUGCAGUGAGCGAUGGUGGCCAUGCUGGUGUCAGGACCGCCACCGGCACGUGCUCCACACAGGGUCCGACUCCUCACCUGGCAUCAGGUAACGGCGCUGGAGCUGAGGCCGCUUCCUCUUCACCUUGCCUGGUUGCUCUGAGCAGUGUGGACGGACACCACCUGAACCUGACUCCAUAUACUCAAGACAGGCCAGCGUCUCUCCUUCCCCUCCUCCCAGACUCAGGCUCAGGCCCUGCAGCCCCCGAGACAGGACAGGGCUCUGGGGUGAGGACGGCAGAGCGAUUCUGAGCUGGGACUCAGAGCGAACCUUGAUGACAACGCCACUGGGACAAAUGGUUCCUGGGCACCCAAGGUCAGGGUGCGCUUUCAACGCUUAGCUUUGCCAAGUGGUGACCGUUGUUGCUGAAGUUCUGGGGCGCUCUGGGCCCUUCUCUGUGGGUGCACCUGUCCAACGGGUUUUCACUGGGGACAAAUUGGGCUUUAAAACGGAGAAGGAGGGCUUGUGUGAGGCAGCUUGUUUGAAGGCAUGUGAUUCACAAAGUGCCACCUGGGAGCCCUCUCUCUCCUCCAGGCACAGCCGCUCUGAGCUCUGAGGCGCCCCCCGGCCGUCCUGUGCAGCUGUCUCUGCUGUGGACUGUGAUGAGACACAGGAGCCCUUCUGUGACCCUCCCCCCUCCGCCCUGUCCGUGGGAUAAAGCCUGAGGCUCUAUCCCCGGGGCCCUGGGCAGACUCAGACCCGAGAGCUGAGCCAUGAAAGCAGCCAUCGCCAAAGAAAUCGGGCCCCGUGCUGUCUCCAGGACGCACGAUGCGGAAGUCUCCCUGGCACACCGAGACGCUGUGCACUCCAGCUCACUCUGUUUGCAGCUCAUGACAAUUUUAUUCAUGAAAAUAUCAGAGACAGAUGGUGAGAUAUUUUCCUUUUAGGAAUGACAUAGCAUUUGGAGAUAGGUGAUUCAUUCUGGUUUUGCAUAAUCAGCAUUUUGGCUGAUAUUUUAACAAAAAAUAUCACGUUUCUUCUUAAAAUUUAUUUUCUUUGAGAAGCAGAAAGCUGAGAGGCAGAUGCAAGAGAGAUGGAGAGAACUCCCAUCUGCUGGUUCACUUUCCAAGUUCCUGCAGUGGCUGGGAGUGUGCCCAGCCAGAUCCCAGGAGUUGGAACUCAAUCCAUGUUGCCUCCCAGGGCUCACAUCAGCAGGAGGCUGGAGCUGGGAGAUGGAGCUGGGAGGUGGACCCCUGUACUCCAGCACGGAAAGCAGGCGUCGCACCAGCAGCUUCCCUGCUGAGCCAAACG
ensembl:lncRNA